GUUUCGUCCUGCAGCCACCACAAUGGCGAAGAUGAUGAGGACACCAUUGGCACCGGAAAUGGUCACAGCUGUAGGGGAGCGGUGGCGCACGGCAACAGAAUGCCUGUCUGAAUACAACAGACCAUAGAUAAUAUACCAACAUAUACACUAGGAGAAAGGGACCGGCUCACCUCCCUCUUCUCCACCGGCGAGACGUCGGAAGAGAAGAUGAAGGGGCCUGAAGCGAUGGGAUCUGGCUGAGCUAUAGUAGAAAGGGUAGGAAGAGAAUAUGGACAGGAGAAGCUUUGCGCACGAGGGUUGCGAGUCUGUAUUAUGCUAUUUAGAUAGGCAUUACAUAAGGCAUUACAUUAAAUGAAUGAUGGUUUAGUAAUGAGAAAAAUUAUAAUCCUAAUAUAUUCUUUUUGAAAAUGCUUAUAAAUAAUUUGAUCUAUGUGAACUAAUCAAUUGAUCUAUGGAAAAAUGUUUAGGUUGAUUAGAUAUUGAAAUUAGAAAGACUAUAAAUAAUUAAUAAAAAUAGACGUGCCGAUGAGACCUUCGUUGAGCACAACAAAUAAAUACAAAUAAGUUUUAAAUAAUAAGAGAAUUUAUAAAAAAUAUCACUUUAGUUUUAAAAAAUAAAGGAAUAAAUAUCACUGAAUUUUAUGAUGAUUUAAUGACCUUGAUUAUCCUGUGAGGUUACCCUAGCCUUGAUUUACCUUGAUAUAACUUUGAUGGUCUAAGAAUUUACUUGGUCUCGAAACAACAAAACAAAAUUUAUUUUUUCAAGUUUAAAAAGAUACCAAAGGUUAGUAGAAAAGCUAGAUACCCGCGCUAUUUGCGCAGGCCACCUUGCUAGUUUAUUUACCUUGAUUGUUUCUAUUUAGACGACGAUCACGAACUCAUGAUAGGGAGCGCAAAGGGCGCCUACUGUUCUAGUUUCCCCAAUUAUCACUCCAUACUCGAGCUUUUACUCUUGCAUUGCUGUCUCAUCCAUGUUUCCCUAAUUGUUACUCCCAGCAGGAUAGACAAGGCAUUGACGCCCAGGUAGUCCAAGGUACUAGGAAGAUGGACAAGGAGGUUGAUCUAUUGGUGGCAACUUUAAAAAGUGCAGGAAAGGCGGUAGACGACGAGACGGUCAAAAUCAUAGAGGACGAGAUAGCUAGAAUUAAAGACGAAACAGCGAGAGGGGCCGCCAGGGAGGCAACAAGAAGAAACCAGGGGAUCAGCUGGCGGCGUCUAGCUGCCCUCGCAGCAUCUUGCGCUGUUGGUUUUUGGCUUGGAGUGGAACUUUUUAAACGGGCUACCAUUAAAGAACUCACCGAGGGAUCGCACGGGGAGCUUGGAUUUUACUUGAUGUUAAAUGCUCUAGCCAAGCACUACCAGAAAAUAGAAGAUUUUACCAGGAAAGGCUGAUGUUGUUAAAAAGUCAUAAGAGGCCGGGACCGGGAGGAAUCGGUGCUUAUUAGCGUAGGUUUGCCAUGGUUUUCUAUUUUCCCCCCAACUUUGUGGUAAUGGAUAUUUAAGUAACUCGAUUGUGUCUUGGAAAAAGCUUCUGUUUAGCCAUA